rnacentral:rRNA from 1 species
GUAGGAUUCGAACGUUAUCCGGAUUUACUGGGCGUAAAGCGCGUGCAGGCGGUUUGGAAAGUUGGAUGUGAAAGCUCCGGGCUCAACCCGGAGAGGUCAUUCAAAACUACCAGACUAGAGGACGGUAGAGGGAGGUGGAAUUCCGGGUGUAGCGGUGAAAUGCGUAGAUAUCCGGAGGAACACCAGUGGCGAAGGCGGCCUCCUGGGCCGUUCCUGACGCUCAGACGCGAAAGCUAGGGGAGCAAACGGGAUUAGAAACCCCGGUAGUCCUAGCUGUAAACGAUGUAGACUUGGUGUUGGUGGCCUUAAAACCCAUCAGUGCCCGCAGCUAACGCGAUAAGUCUACCGCCUGGGAUUACGACCGCAGGGGUUA